GCCAGACUCCUACGGGAGGCAGCAGUGGGGAAUAUUGCACAAUGGGGGAAACCCUGAUGCAGCAACGCCGCGUGAGUGAAGAAGUAUUUCGGUAUGUAAAGCUCUAUCAGCAGGGAAGAAGAUGACGGUACCUGAAUAAGAAGCCCCGGCUAACUACGUGCCAGCAGCCGCGGUAAUACGUAGGGGGCAAGCGUUAUCCGGAUUUACUGGGUGUAAAGGGAGCGCAGGCGGCGCGUUAAGCCUGGUGUGAAAGCCCGCGGCCCAACCGCGGGACUGCAUUGGGAACUGGCGCGCUGGAGUGCCGGAGGGGUAGGCGGAAUUCCUAGUGUAGCGGUGAAAUGCGUAGAUAUUAGGAGGAACACCAGUGGCGAAGGCGGCCUACUGGACGGUGACUGACGCUGAGGCUCGAAAGCGUGGGGAGCAAACAGGAUUAGAUACCCCAGUAAA
rnacentral:rRNA from 1 species